CUUCCUCUGUAUGUUCUUGUUAGGUCUUUUGAUCACAACAGUGAAAAAACUGGCUAAAACAGUUAUACUGGUGCCAGUGGCUAUAUUUGCUUCAGUAAAAGAUUUCCUUCUUUAUUUUAAAGUAAGCUCUCAGAUAAGGGAUAGGCAGUGAUUGUAGUCUUUAUCAAUAUUAAACAAUUAAAAAAAAUUAAGACUUUUUUCUAAAUUAGUUUGGAUAAAGAUUUUAAACUCUCAAGACAUCCACAAAAUUCUAAAACAUUUGAUCAAUCUGAUUUUCCUGCUUUCUCUCAUCUCUGCCACUUCCAAAUACACACAUAAUGGAGUGUUUCUGCAUUUUAUCAUUUUUUAGUAAACACUGGAAGGAAGGCAGUGUAGUACAGGCAAUGAGUGUACAGCAUGUUGGCUUUGAAGAGUUCGAGGGUCCUAUUCUGUCAUUUUCAUCACCAUUUGUCUAGCCAAGGUGUGAAUGCACACUAUCCCAACAUAGUGUGAAUGAUGGAGAGUUAUAGGAGAAGGAAAUUGUGUGAUAGGUUAAGCAAUGGGCAUAUCCCAUAGUAUAGAAAAGAAAAGUUUCUGAAAAAAUAUUAAUGACAAUUUGGAACAGAAUAUACACCAGCAAAGAAUCACACUCAAAAUAGUUAAGGCAGAUAGGCUCUUAGUGACAUCAGAGGAACAGGUAAGCAGGCUGACUAGUCAGGGAGGCAGGAUGAGAGAAAAGCAAGUGUGAGCAGAUUCCUGGGCUCCCAUGCUUCUUUGCAUCCCUAUUUUACUCUCUCCAUCCAUGUCAAGGCCACCUCCCAUGAUUCAGAUUUCUUCCUUGCUUCUCCUACUUACAUAUUUGUCAGUUACUUGCCCCAUUCUCUUAGCAAUCGCAUUCUUUGACACUAGUAAUUAGAUCAGUUAAUUUACUAAGCAACACCAGUGGUUGAAGCUAACUCACUGCCUCUUCCUGACAGAGUGCAUUUGUAACACACCCCACAUGUGCACACUCACAUUUCACCUAUGUAUGUACAGGACCACGGUGCAUUUGUCUGGAGCAGGCAGGCAGGCAGGCAGGAAGUGAAAUACUUUAGGAAAAAAGGUUUGCUCUUCUCCAGUGAAUGCCCAUCUUCUGCUAAUGGGUACUGAGAGGUAUUUGUCUCAUCCCAGUGAUUCAGCUGUGACUGGAGAGAAAGAGAUUGAUAAAGGAGGGAAGGAAAUGCCAUGGGGAAAUGCAGCAGAUAGGGCUCAAACUUUGGGGGCC
rnacentral:lncRNA from 1 species